UACAGAGGGUGCAAGCGUUAAUCGGAAUUACUGGGCGUAAAGCGUGCGUAGGCGGUUCGUUAAGUUCGUUGUGAAAGCCCCGGGCUCAACCUGGGAAUGGCAAUGGAAACUGGCGGGCUGGAGUAUGGCAGAGGGGGGUGGAAUUCCGCGUGUAGCAGUGAAAUGCGCAGAUAUCGGGAGGAACACCAAUGGCGAAGGCAGCUCGCUGGGACGGUACUGACGCUGAGACGCGAAAGCGUGGGGAGCAAACAGG
rnacentral:rRNA from 1 species